UACGUAGGUGGCAAGCGUUAUCCGGAUUUACUGGGUGUAAAGGGCGUGUAGGCGGCUCCGCAAGUCAGAUGUGAAAUUCCCAGGCUUAACCUGGGCGCUGCAUCUGAAACUGCGGAACUUGAGUACUGGAGAGGAUAGUGGAAUUCCUAGUGUAGCGGUAAAAUGCGUAGAUAUUAGGAGGAACACCAGUGGCGAAGGCGGCUAUCUGGACAGUAACUGACGCUGAGGCGCGAAAGCGUGGGGAGCAAACAGG
rnacentral:rRNA from 1 species